CCUCUUCCCAACAAACAAGUUUUAAACAAGCUGCCACAUCAAUCUUUUUUUUUUUUUUUCUUCUGUUUUCCUUCUUUUCUUUUCAGAAAAUAAAUGUAAGUCGGCAUUAAAUGUAAGAGCUCAUAAUUCAUUGAAUGACAGCUUCAGCAACAGCUGAUUAAGUUCAGAUGGGGAGAUAAACACAGAGCUCCUCCAAAGACACUGGAGCCAAGCAUAGGAGAAACUGAUGUGAGCAAGCAAGGACUACUGAAUGAUGACGUGUGAUGUUCACAAGUUGAUGACAGCUUUUUUUGUGGAAGAGAUACAUCAGUGAAUCCAUUUAGUGCACCCUGAUUUUUGUCUUAGAAGAAAAUACAUCAUCAGUGAGGCCUAAAGUAAGAAGUCUCGCUCACUCUAAGACUCUGAAAAGUGUUACCUGCGUGGGAGUUUGCAGCUGCAGAUCCUGCCAGAGCUUAGAAAAGAGAAAUGCUUGCAUUCAAGGGGAAUGGAGCCAUCCAUCCAGUAGAGAGCUGAUGCCUUACUUGCUAGAGUAAUGAAUGAAAGAACGGGCCCCGCACUUUUCCUGAACUUGGGAAAAAGGUUGGAUGUUCUUUAGAAUUUUCACAAUAAUGUGGGAGACUUUUAGAAUGCACGUCAGAGUUGAUGGAAACUUGUAGCUUGACUUCAUCAGAAAUGCAGCUAUUAUCUUACCUGUUGAGUUUUAGUCAUGUGAGUUGAAAGCAACUACUAUGGAG
rnacentral:lncRNA from 1 species